rnacentral:rRNA from 1 species
AAUAAACGCUGGCGGCGUGCCUAACACAUGCAAGUCGAGCGGGAAAGCCCUUCGGGGUAAGUACAGCGGCGGACGGGUGAGCAACACGUGAGAAUCUGCCCUUUAGUGGAGAAUACUCCCGAGAAAUCGGGCAUAAUACUGCAUAAGUCCCUGCGGGGAGAAAGGUGGCUUUAUGCUGUCGCUAGAGGAUGAGCUCGCGUACUAUUAGCUAGUUGGUAGGGUAAUGGCCUACCAAGGCAAUGAUGGUUAACCGGCCUGAGAGGGUGUUCGGUCACACUGGAACUGAGAUACGGUCCAGACUCCUACGGGAGGCAGCAGUGGGGAAUAUUGGACAAUGGGCGCAAGCCUGAUCCAGCCAUACCGCGUGGGUGAAGAAGGCCUUCGGGUUGUAAAGCCCUUUUGUUGGAAAGAAAUCCAGCUGGCUAACACCCGGUUGGGAUGACGGUACCCAAAGAAUAAGCACCGGCUAACUUCGUGCCAGCCGCCGCGGUAA